AUUGAACGCUGGCGGCAGGCCUAACACAUGCAAGCCGAGCGGCAUUGUUUCUUCGGAAAUGAGAGAGCGGCGUACGGGUGCGGAACACGUGUGCAACCUGCCUUUAUCUGGGGGAUAGCCUUUCGAAAGGAAGAUUAAUACUCCAUAAUAUAUUGAACGGCAUCGUUUAAUAUUGAAAGCUCCGGCGGAUAGAGAUGGGCACGCGCAAGAUUAGCUAGUUGGUGAGGUAACGGCUCACCAAGGCGAUGAUCUUUAGGGGGCCUGAGAGGGUGAUCCCCCACACUGGGACUGAGACACGGACCAGACUCCUACGGGAGGCAUCAGUGAGGAAUAUUGGUCAAUGGGUGCAAGCCUGAACCAGCCAUCCCGCGUGAAGGACGACUGCCCUAUGGGUUGUAAACUUCUUUUGUAUAGGGAUAAACCUACCCUCGUGAGGGUAGCUGAAGGUACUAUACGAAUAAGCACCGGCUAACGCCGUGCCAGCCGCCGCCGUAACAC
rnacentral:rRNA from 1 species